GUCACGUCAGAAGCAGCCAGAGUUUUGAUAUGCCUUCUUUUUGACAUGUGGGUCCCUUACCAGGCCUGAAGAAGAGGAGAAAUAAGCAUCAUCUAAAUGGAAAUCACAUAUUUUGCAUCAAUUCAGUUCAACAGACAUGAAUUGGGUGUCCUGUCUCUACAGCAGGUAUUAUGAGGAGGUGUAAGAAUGCAUUAGAGAGUUCCUGCCUUCAGGGCUUUCAGGAAUGGUCUGUGGUUCACCAAUCAAGAUGUAUCCCUUGAAAAGCAAAAUUUUUUUCAAAGACCAGAAUUCAACAAGGAUUAGAAUAGCAACAUAAAAGAGGACCUAUCCAGAAGAAUGAGAUUGCACAGAGACAUCUUCGUGGAAAGAAUGGUACAGUGGUACGAGACUCAAGAGUAAGGUUCACGCCUAUCCUCAGGGUUGGCCUUAGACUCAAUGCCCAGCAUGGAGUCCAAC